GAUGAGAACGUAGCGAAAUGCGAUAAGUAAUGUGAAUUGCAGAAUUCAGUGAAUCAUCGAAUCUUUGAACGCACAUUGCGCCCGCCAGUAUUCUGGCGGGCAUGCCUGUUCGAGCGUCAUUACAACCCUCAGGCCCCCGGGCCUGGCGUUGGGGAUCGGCGGAGCCCCCCGUGGGCACACGCCGUCCCCCAAAUGCAGUGGCGGUCCCGCCGCAGCUUCCAUCGCGUAGUAGCUAACACCUCGCGACUGGAGAGCGGCGAGGCCACGCCGUAAAACACCCAACUCUUCUGAAGUUGACCUCGAAUCAGGUAGGAAUACCCGCUGAACUUAAGCAUAUCAAUAAGCGGAGGA
rnacentral:misc_RNA from 1 species